rnacentral:RNase_P_RNA from 2 species
UAAGUAAAUCGCCUUAUCGUUCCGAAGUUAUUUCGGGAAGGAAAGUCCGAACACCGUAGUGCAACAUAGUGGUUAAUGGCCACCAACCGUGAGGUUAGGAAAAGUGCAACAGAAAGAAUGUACAGGUUAUGCUGUAGUGAAAUCAGGUAAACUCUAUGUGGUGCAAUGUCAUGUAUACCAACGUUUGAGGGCUGCACGCCCGAUUGUUGGAGGGUAGGCAGCUAAAGUGUAUUGGUAACAAUGCACUAAGAUAAAUGAUAAGGUAUUUUUGUGCUUGUUUUAGGUAAACUUGAAACGAGUACGGAAUGAACAGAAUUCGGCUUAUAGAUUUACUUGAACA